AUCGCUUCUCGGCCUUUUGGCUAAGAUCAAGUGUAGUAUAUUUUGAAUAUUUUAAUUCAAAUAUUGUUAAUAAUUUACCUUAA
rnacentral:snRNA from 1 species